UACGGGGGGGGCAAGCGUUGUUCGGAAUUACUGGGCGUAAAGGGCUCGUAGGUGGCCAACUAAGUCAGACGUGAAAUCCCCAGGCUCAACUUGGGAACUGCGUCUGAUACUGGAUGGCUUGAAUUCGGGAGAGGGAUGCAGAAUUCCAGGUGUAGCGGUGAAAUGCGUAGAUAUCUGGAGGAAUACCGGUGGCGAAGGCGGCCCACUGGCUCGACACUGACGCUAAGACGCGAAAGCGUGGGGAGCAAACAGG
rnacentral:rRNA from 1 species